rnacentral:rRNA from 1 species
UCCGUAGGGGGCAAGCGUUGUCCGGAUUUAUUGGGCGUAAAGAGCGUGUAGGCGGCCUGGAAGGUCAGCUGUGAAAACUCGAGGCUCAACCUCGAGACGUCGGUUGAAACCACCUGGCUAGAGUCCGGAAGAGGAGAGUGGAAUUCCCGGUGUAGCGGUGAAAUGCGCAGAUAUCGGGAAGAACACCCGUGGCGAAGGCGGCGCUCUGGGACGGUACUGACGCUGAGACGCGAAAGCGUGGGGAGCGAACAGG